GUGGGAAUAGCUCAGUGGUAGAGCACAUGCUUAGCAUACAUGAGGGUCUGGGUUCAAUCCUCAGUACCUCUA
rnacentral:tRNA from 1 species